AACUUCUUCUCUCUCUCUCUCUCUCUCUCUCUCUCUCACGAUGCUCUCCCCUUUUAUCUUUUCUUUCCUUUUUCCUUCUCCUCAUCUCCCCUCUCUUCCUCCUCCAUUCACGCACGCACAACCCAUGAGAGAGUGAGACGUUGCAGAUUUUUGGAGAGGGAGAUAGUGAGCACGACGCAGAGAAGAAAAGAAGAAGAAGAAAAGAAAGAGAAGUAGGAGAAGAGAAGAAGAAAUGGUUCAUGGGUUCCGGCCAUGGGCUUUUAUGGGGCACGUGUUAUAAUUGGAGACUGCAACUUGUUCUCCAAUGUAGAGCUCAAGUAAAUAGAAUACUGGGAGUAUUCGAGUCAUGAGUCCUAAGCAGCCAAGAUGAUGUUCCUUUGGCUGCAGGUAUUUUGGUCAUAGUUGAUAGCAUUGUAGAAGGGUAAUUUGGAUGUUAUGAGUGAAGCACACUGCAACGGUCGUAAUUGGUGGACCAUGGGUUGUCCACUUGUUUAUAGGUUUAGUUUAUGGCUUGUGAUGUUUGUGUCACUUGUUCUUGUAAAGCCAUUUCUGUUAUGUAAUUAUAUUGAGGAAAGACUUAAUUAGAUAGAUGUAAUAAGGCUCUUUGUUUAUGAUUAUUUGUAAUAGACGUUUAUGCUAUGAUUUCCGCUAUUUAGGUUUAUGUUUUCCGCUGCAUAGAUGAAAAGAUGUUAUACUCUGAUAUACCAGGUUCAUAUUAUGGGAAAUGUACCAUAUGUUGGCUUUGCGACAUAUCGUCGUGCCACUGUGAAGAUCCAUUUAUAUUUUAAGAGACUAAUA